AACGAACGCUGGCGGCAUGCCUAACACAUGCAAGUCGAACGAGACCUUCGGGUCUAGUGGCGCACGGGUGCGUAACGCGUGGGAACCUGCCCUUAGGUUCGGACUAACUCCCCGAAAGGGGUGCUAAUACCGGAUAAUGUCUUCGGACCAAAGGUUUAUCGCCUUUGGAUGGGCCCGCGUUGGAUUAGCUAGUUGGUAGGGUAAAAGCCUACCAAGGCGACGAUCCAUAGCUGGUCUGAGAGGAUGAUCAGCCACACUGGGACUGGGACACGGCCCAGACUCCUAGGGGAGGCAGCAGUGGGGAAUAUUGGACAAUGGGCGAGAGCCUGAGCCAGCAAGGCCGCGUGAGUGAUGAAGGCCUUAGGGUUGUAAAGCGCUUUUACCCGGGAUGAUAAUGACAGUACCGGGAGAAUAAGCUCCGGCUAACUCCGUG
rnacentral:rRNA from 1 species